CUGCCCUCGUGUGGGGGACAACGUCUCGAAAGGGACGCUAAUACCGCAUAACACCCAACUCGGUCCGCCGAGAAGGGUAAAAGAUGGCCUCUGCUUGCAAGCUAUCGCAUGAGGAUGAGCCUGCGGACCAUCAGCUAGUUGGUGGGGUAAUGGCCUACCAAGGCGAAGACGGUUAGCUGGUCUGAGAGGAUGAUCAGCCACACUGGCACUGAAACACGGGCCAG
rnacentral:rRNA from 1 species